rnacentral:rRNA from 1 species
UACGGAGGGUGCAAGCGUUAUCCGGAUUCACUGGGUUUAAAGGGUGCGUAGGUGGGUUGGUAAGUCAGUGGUGAAAUCUCCGAGCUUAACUCGGAAGCUGCCAUUGAUACUAUCAGUCUUGAAUAUUGUGGAGGUUAGCGGAAUAUGUCAUGUAGCGGUGAAAUGCUUAGAUAUGACAUAGAACACCAAUUGCGAAGGCAGCUGGCUACACAUAUAUUGACACUGAGGCACGAAAGCGUGGGGAUCAAACAGG